CGUUUCCUCGCAGCGUGAUUGACGACCUGAGCUCAGCUCGAGUGAGCUGAAUCCGAGGCCGGAGGGGGCUGAAUUUGAGCGUGACUCUGUCAGGACCCUCACCGCCCUGGCGGAUUGCUCAGUGCCAAUCUCAGGUCGUCAUUCGGGCUGCGAAGAAACG